GCUGGGCGCGGUGGUGUGCGCCUGUAAUCCCAGCUACUAGGGAGGCUGAGGCAGGAGAAUUGCUUGUACCCAGGAGGCGGAGGUUGCAGUGAGCUGAGAUGGCGCCACUGCACUCCAGCCUGGGCAACAGAGCCAGACUCCGUCUCAA
ensembl:misc_RNA Metazoa_SRP Metazoan signal recognition particle RNA